rnacentral:rRNA from 1 species
UACAGAGGCCACGAGCGUUAGGCGGAAUCACUGGGCUUAAAGCGUGUGUAGGUGGAUCGGUAAGUACCUUGUGAAAUCCCACGACUCAAUCGUGGAACUGCUUGGUAUACUGCCAGUCUUGAGGUACUCAGGGGCAAGCGGAACGAGAUGGUGGAGCGGUGAAAUGCGUAGAUAUCAUCUGGAACGCCAAUGGUGAAGACAGCUUGCUGGGGGUAUUCUGACACUGAGACACGAAAGCCAGGGGGAGCAAACGGG